UGGGGAAUAUUGGACAAUGGGGGCAACCCUGAUCCAGCAAUGCCGCGUGUGUGAAGAAGGUCUUCGGAUUGUAAAGCACUUUCGACGGGGACGAUGAUGACGGUACCCGUAGAAGAAGCCCCGGCUAACUUCGUGCCAGCAGCCGCGGUAAUACGAAGGGGGCUAGCGUUGCUCGGAAUGACUGGGCGUAAAGGGCGUGUAGGCGGUUUACACAGUCAGAUGUGAAAUCCCCGGGCUUAACCUGGGAGCUGCAUUUGAUACGUGUAGACUAGAGUGUGAGAGAGGGUUGUGGAAUUCCCAGUGUAGAGGUGAAAUUCGUAGAUAUUGGGAAGAACACCGGUGGCGAAGGCGGCAACCUGGCUCAUGACUGACGCUGAGGCGCGAAAGCGUGGGGAGCAAACAGGAUUAGAUACCCUGGUAGUCCA
rnacentral:rRNA from 1 species